GACGAACGCUGGCGGCGUGCUUAACACAUGCAAGUCGAACGGAAAGGCCCUGCUCUUGCGGGUUGCUCGUGUGGCGAACGGGUGAGUAACACGUGUGUAUCCUGCCCUUAUCUUUCGGGUAACUUCAGGAAAAUGGGGCUCAUAUCGGAUAGAAUCUCCUGCUGCAUGUUGGGCAUUGGAAAGUUUCGGCUUUUGUGGAUGUACUCGCGGCUUCUUAGCUAGUUGGUAUGGUUGUGGCUUACCAAGGCUACGACGGGUAGCCGACCUGAGAGGGUGAUCGGCCACACUGGAACUGAGACACGGGCCAGACUCCGACGGGAGGCAGCAGUAGGGAAUCUUCCGCAAUGGGCGAAAGCUUGACGGAGCAACGCCGCGUGAGUGAUGAAGGUCUUCGGAUCGUAAAACUCUGUUAUUAGGGAAGAACAAAUGUGGAAGUAACUAUGCACGUCUUGACGGUACCUAAUCAGAAAGCCACGGCUAACUACGUG
rnacentral:rRNA from 1 species